AAAUCUCAAUGUUCUUCAUAAAUAUUAACAAAUUAAUGUGACCCAUAUGGCGGGUUUCCACCAGCUCGACUCUCCCCGGCGCAGCAUGGUUAUUUUGCGUUUCCACUAGUGACAGUACCCAGCGUUUCCCAUAAAGAGACUGUUGAGGCCUGUGCUCUUCUCUAUAGAACCACAUGUGAGCGAGAGCACGCGCGUACACACAUACCCGGGCUCAUAGACUAAGGUCGCACUGCGUUGUCUGGAGCUCCUUGCUGCAUUUGGCGUGGUCCAGCGACACCGUAUCCAUAUCUGAUGAUGGCUGGACAGGACCAUUUGAAGACAGUGUGAGGACAAGAACCAAGUUGAAGUAAUGUCUCUCCUGGCCAGUGGGUGUGAUGAAUGGAGACAAAUCUAUCAAACUGUGAGAGACUUCUCCACGAUGAACCGGGUCAAAUCAGACCCUGAAGGGUUCAACUUUGGGAGAGCUCUGGAACUGUUUUUCACCAAGCCUAGAAGAGUGCAGAGUGUGUUAAUGUCUUUAGAGUUGACUCAUUUUCAUUUUUAUCAUUAUUAUAUGAUGAUUAUCCUGACCAUUGAAAUUGUAUUUAAAAAAAACAACAAAAAAAACUCAUUUAUUGUCGCCUUCAAAGUUUUGAGUUUGUAUUUUUUGCAAAUGAAAAAUAAAGUAUUGUGUGCCAUUUUUAUACACCACCAAUUACCAGAGAAAUGUCUAAAAUCUCAAUAUUUAACAGAGGAGUCUGGUGUAUUUAGA